UACGAAGGGGGCUAGCGGUGUUCGGAAUUACUGGGCGUAAAGCGUGCGCAGGCGGCUUCUCAAGUCAGGGGUGAAAGCCCAGAGCUCAACUCUGGAAUUGCCUUUGAGACUGAGUGGCUUGAGUACGAGAGAGGUGAGUGGAAUUCCCAGUGUAGAGGUGAAAUUCGUAGAUAUUGGGAAGAACACCGGUGGCGAAGGCGGCUCACUGGCUCGUAACUGACGCUCAUGCACGACAGCGUGGGGAUCAAACAGG
rnacentral:rRNA from 1 species